AACGAACGCUGGCGGCAGGCCUAACACAUGCAAGUCGAGCGAGACCUUCGGGUCUAGCGGCGGACGGGUUAGUAACGCGUGGGAACGUGCCCUUCUCUGCGGAAUAGCCGCUGGAAACGGUGAGUAAUACCGCAUACGCCCUUCGGGGGAAAGAUUUAUCGGAGAAGGAUCGGCCCGCGUUAGAUUAGAUAGUUGGUGGGUAACGGCCUACCAAGUCUACGAUCUAUAGCUGGUUUUAGAGGAUGAUCAGCAACACUGGGACUGAGACACGGCCCAGACUCCUACGGGAGGCAGCAGUGGGGAAUCUUAGACAAUGGGCGCAAGCCUGAUCUAGCCAUGCCGCGUGUGUGAUGAAGGUCUUAGGAUCGUAAAGCACUUUCGCCAGGGAUGAUAAUGACAGUACCUGGUAAAGAAACCCCGGCUAACUCCGUG
rnacentral:rRNA from 1 species